UGUAUUCCUACCCACUUAGCAUAAAGUGGGUCUAGAAGCUAAUUUGUAGGUCACACUGAUUGGGUUGCCUGUGUAGGGCUGCCGAGGGGAGGGGGCUGUGGCUGGGAGGCUGGUACCAUAUGCCACCUACCCCAUCAGCUUCCCUUCCCUCUGAAAAUGGUGACAACGCCAGCACCCUGCUCCUGGCUUUGCUUUGAAAUCCCUGAGGUUCCUGGGUCAGUCCCAGCUGGGGGCUGCUGUCAGCCUGCAGCGAGGGCAGCGGUUCAUGGUCUUGUGCCAGCUCUCCCAGGGACUUGCUCCUGGACCACAGGGAGAUGGCUCUUCCUUAAAGGCACACAGCCUUUGGUGACACCGCUACCAUGGAACCGCAGGAAAGGAGAGCUGGAGGGGACUUUAAAAGGAUUCAUAUAAAUUGCUUUUCUGUUGCAAAAUUGCCAGCAAUUCCACUCAGCGUGAACCCGGCAGCGAGGCAUCCUGGGAUUCCUCCCUGCCUCCUCCCUCCACUCCUGCUGGCUCCAGCCUCCCGUGCCCCCUCCCCGGGAGCUGUUCCCAUCCCGCUUCCCCCCGAUCCCAGUACUGGAGGAAGGGAAGGCACCUGUGUAUGGAGCACAGACAGCUCCAGCUCCGUCCUUGGCUGAUGGCAUCCGUCACCCUGGGGUGCUGGGUGAGGGAGAGCCCCCUGGGCACGCUGCCCCUGGGGGUGCAGGGGGGGUCCUUGCCCACCCCUCCUGCCCCAAAUCUGCCCACAGGUGGGCAAAAUGGGUGUGCAGUGUGCGCAGGGAUGGGGCUUCCCUGCUGCAUCCCCAAUGCAAGGGGUGAGCCCCCCUGCCCCAAAAGCCAUGGGCUCCAACUUCAGGCCCAUCCACCCCAGGAAUGCGAUUUGUUCGCUGCAUCUUUUGUGCUCAAGGGGCAUGGAGUGGGCUUAUCUUAGCAGGGAGAUCGUUUCUAGGCAGGUUGAACUCAGGGUGGGAGAAUGGCAGCCGGUUUUCCCUUUAUGCCCUCGCUUUUCCCCUGUUUGAGCUCUCUGGGAAGAACGGGCUGGGUUCUGGUCACAUCACUGCAUGGAGCCGGACAAAACCCUGGCAGCUGUGAGGGUCCUGAUGGGUCCUGGCCUCACCCAGACCGUGUGGAGCAGCCGUGCCUCGGGACGAGGCUGUCCCAUUUUCCCAUUAUCCUGCAGAUUGGUCCCCAUCUUCCCGCAGAACGCUAAAAAAGCCCCGCGAAGCACAACAGCUUGUGGUAGCCUCCCCGCCACCCACUUUCCCUCACAGGCAGGCAAGUAUGAAUUGCCCAAAAAUAGAGAUGAAGAGUCCCAGAGGGAAGCAUAUGGCAGAUGGGACUGGAUCCCUGGCUAUCGGGUUUUCCGUCAGCGCUUCAGCUGCGUGAUCAGCUCCUCUUAGCUGCAAAGCAUCGCGCUCCCCAUGCCGAGGGGAUCGGCUCUGGCUGCUGGGUUAAUGCCUGGGAGGCAGCCCAGGAUGCCUGCUUUGUAGGACUACGAGGAUUUAGCAAUCUGGAAGGUAGAUUAGGGAGGUUUCCCCAACAUUUUAAAGCUGUGAUGCCUUUUGAAGCCCGCUGAAAGCAGCAGCCACAUGAGGAGCAGGUGAAAUUAGCUGGAGGAAACCAGGAGAGAAGAAUCGUGUUGCUGCACCGGAGCCUCCCCGGAUUUCAAACAGCGCUUUGAUAAAUUCCUGUCCUGCGGUAAAGAUCUCCCAGCACAGCGUGUGCUGCAGCAGCCUGGGUGACUUCUCCUGCUGCUGAUGGGCCCUGGGAAGAGGGGUUUGGGGAUGGCCCCCGUGGGGCAGGAACACGGCGCUUUGGUGCCCCCGUCUCCUCUUCCCAUUUCUUUCUUCUGUUUUCCUUCUUCCUCUGCUGCUGAAGACAAGGGGUGAAGGGGUGGAAGCUGCUUUUCCUGGCUGCCUUCUGCCAGUCCCUGCUGCUGGAAGGCAAAGCAAAGAUUCCUCUGUGGGUCUGCCCCAUGUGUCCGGCUGGUGGAGCACAGCCCGUGGGUGUCCUCCAGGUCACCCAGAGCCACGCGCCGCAGCCUCUUCGCUUUUGGGGUCCUGGUCGCUUCUGCAAUCCCUGUGCUGCACACAGAGUGACAAAAUGCAAAGCUCUGGCACCCCCCUGGGCUCUCACUGAGGGACCUGGUGGCUGCUGAUAGCAGCGAGCACCUCGCAACCCCAGGCAGCACCUCCGGAACCGCAGCAGCCGCUGCCUGCAGCCUCUCGCCCGCGUUAUCG